AAAAUACGAAUCUUAGAAGCACAAGGGGGAUAACCAUUGCACAAGACUUCAUAUGUGCCUCCAUCAUAGAAAACUAGACUGAAUUUUGCCAAGUUCUAAGGAUGAACAAAUGAAUCAUACAGAAUAUUGUCAAAACCCCGCAUUUUUUCUCACUGAAACAAACUUCUGUACUUGCAUACAACCCUCUCUGAACUUGGACGGCACCUACUGCUUAACUUGGACGAUGACCAUUUCUCAACUCGAAUGGAGGUUGUCGUUGCUUUUUAACCAUGAAUGCUUCUAAAGACACUGGGAAUUGCUUCAAAACUGCUUUAUACUUUUUAACAUGAGUGUUCUCUCAGCUGGGACAAGAAGCAAUGCAUACAUCAUAUUUUUAUUCUGCAAGAACAAAACACUCCAAUAAUUAACAACUAAUCUAUCAGUACAUGCAGAACAAUUUUAGUUUUGAGAACAAACUUCCAUUGACGUGUCAAACUCUGAAUCUGUAUAGAGGACAGGAUGUGUCUCAGGCUACUUAGAAUAUUUAUGAAAAAUUGGCAACAGGACCAGCCUCGACAUUUUCCACUUGUAAGAUAAACAUAAAAUAGAAGUACUAGCACUGAACUAGUAGGAUUACCUAAAACUAGGUAUUUCCAGUUUGAGCAGAAGAAUCUAUGAAACCAGAUUGCAUGUCCAACCACAAACCAAGACUAAUAUGUACUGUUUUGCUUAGUCUGGGAUGGACUAUAAGAUUUUACAAAGCCACUUAAUUACCUUGAGUGCACACAUGAUUUUUGGGGAUUUCCUCAAGAUUAUGCACAAUAAAGCAUACGGACUGAAAAGAAUAGACAAGCUGAACUGUAAACCAAAAUAAAUGGCCACUGGGUUCCCCAUAUAGCAACUAAAACUCAGUACAACUACACCUUUUAUUGCUGCACUACUACUUAAAACAAGUUAAAUCAAUAAAAAAACUGAACUAACAAACUUCUACUUCAUAUCAUUUGUGCAUGUCCAUGGCGACAGUGUGCAACUGUUGAGCAUGUAGCUGAUGUGCGGGAUGCAAAUGCCCCUUAGUGGUGGACGCAAAUGCUCGUGUGCUGGACGCAAGUUCAGCAUAUAUAUGUCCCUGUAUGAACUUACAUAUUUCCAUUUCUUUCUUUACACAUAUAAAAGUCAGUGCUUUUUUGUAGAAUGAACACCUACUAUUUUUACCAAUUGAACUAUUUAAAGCAUUGAAAAGUGAACUUUUAUUGAGUUGUUUUACAUAGCUAACAGUGGACAAAGAUAAAGAUUAUGAGUUUCCUUAAACAUAAUCAAAACAAGCAUUUGAAUUGGUUAUGUACCUCCACUCAAAGAGAGCUUGGACUUGCUACUAUUCUUUCUCUAACUGCCGAUUGUAGAUUGAUGUCAAGCAUUACAACAAGUACCCGUCCCCCUUUUGUGCUAAACAAUCAAAAUCGUCGCGCAUAGGGAAGCACCAGCAGCAUUUCAAGCAUUUUCAAGCAGAGUAAAAAUACAUUAAUAUUUCAGCAAUUCAAGCUACAGCUAACAUUAGCAGGAAUUCAAGCGAAAGAAGAGACAGAGGUUACGGGAGAGAGCAGAACAUGAGAGACCUUAGCUAGAGCAUAGUGGAGGUUGGGAAAGGAGGCAAACUCCUGAGCUGCGGUGUCGAACGACUCGACGCUGUGUCAUUGAACGACCCAUGGUGGUAGCAGUGAAUGGUGCCGUGCCAUCGUGUAGGGCUAGCACCGAGGCUAGCACGCAGAGGAUCCUGCCUGCGGCGGCUCGUCGGACCUGAGUGGCGGUGAAGAGAACACGAUGGCCCCACAAUGUGGACCUGGGUGGACGCAAAGAGGGCCGGGGUUGCGGACGAGGCUCAGCGGGGAUUCUUGGGGUGGCGGUGAACGGACAUACGUGGCGGAGGAGAACGGACUGGGGUGGCGGAGGUGAAUGGCCUAGGGGCGGCGGUGAAUGGACAUCGAUGGCGGAGGUGAACAGCCUGCACGUUGAGGCUGUGGAGGGCGACGCCGGAUAUGGGGUCGGGGCGCAGAGCAAGUCGCCGGCGCGAGUGCUUCNN
rnacentral:lncRNA from 1 species